rnacentral:lncRNA from 11 species
CAGUGUACGGUAGAUAGCUAUAAACCAAAUGGCCGCAGCUCUUCUUCGCUGACGAGCAGCAUUAGGUGUGUCACGGCUAAUCUUUGACCGAGAGAGAGACGCGUCAGUCAGAAAGAAGACUCUAUAGAAGAUCACCACUCCAGCAACAGUAAGCGCUUACCCUCAACAGCUGGCAUUUCCAGAUUGCUAUUCAAAGGCCGAGUGUGGCGGGCGCAUGGUACAUCGCAGACGUCUAGCGGAGUACCAGCAGUCUGGGUACAGUGUACAUGGCGCUCUAAAGCAUGCUUAACUGGUUGUUUCAACUCGUGCGCUACCGUGCACAAGUGACCCGUAGAUAACGUCUACUUCACUGCGACGAGUAACAUAGAACCAGGCAUCAAGGUAGUCGCUGUUACCGGCUUUGCUCGAUCAGCGCAAUUGCUGGUUAAGAUUAGCGAAUCCAGCUGAUUUCGGGCGGAGUAACUACUAACUGACGUCGCGCUGGGUUAUAACCAUACCAUGCUCGUACACAUAUAGCCACGAAGCGGCAAGAUUUAAAGAUUUGACCAAGGUACUACGCGGCCGUCGCUCUCGCCUCCUGGAUAGCAAUCUGGAAGACGCCAGCUGUUGACGGCAGGGACAGUAUUGCCACGAAUACUCAAAGAGAAGUCGAAUCAGGAAGACAGUGGUAGUAAAAGACGGAGAUGGCGCAACGAGAGAUACACACCCAAACACACAAUAGCAGGCAGCCAGUCGGAUACAAGGCGCCUCCCGUCACUUUAUGGAGGUUUUCCCGUGAAGAAGCAAGAGUCUUUUUGUCCUUUCUACGAUAGCAUUUGAACCUGCUGUCGAGAUACCACGCCUCUGGUUGGCCUGACGCGCACGAGAUGUCUACAGCCCCAGUAUAGAUGCACUCUAUGCGGCAAACACAACUUCUACGCGGGUUUACUAGGUUUCCUAGGUAUUACUACAGUGCGAGCUUCCGACAAGGCUGCCAAGCAGUUGGAUGAGCCAACAAUGAAUCCACUAAAAGAGAAGGAAGGAAAUUUGCUGUAGGAUAGAGAUCGAUAUAGCAGCCGUUUUUUCGGCAAAAGACGGUUGGCUUCUGUUCAUUGAAAAAACGCAUCUAGACAGCCAUAAUACCAAAGACGAUGUGGCACGGAAGUUACGACACGUUGAGAUAGACAGACAGAUGAAUGCGGAGCAAGGUUAAGUUAGGUUGGGGGCGACCUGCGGAGGAGGUAAUGGAGGGAGGCCUGAAGCGCGAGAAGGUCAGAAAAAUUGUUUCAGAUUCACUGAGCAAGUGAGCGUUCAAUUCGCAGGCAUAUGCGCAGACGUGUAAUCCUGGCAUCGCGUACCUGAGCAAAACUCUUCCGAGCGACAACUUUUCUCGUUGCGCCGUAAGAUCGAUUGGCGGCCAUGUAGGUCAGAAGUGGGUGACUACUAAGGCUGCAGGAAUGGUAAUAUCUAAGUAUUUCUUCCUCGGUGAUCUCCAUUGAGAGUCCCGGCGCCUCGCAUACGUAUCCGCAUCCGCAGUUAUCAGAAAUGCCACGCACUCACCGAAGAUGGGCUCCGUCGUCGGCUGGCGACCAAACUCUCUCAGUUCCUCUCUCUGAGAGAAUUUUGCUGAGUGUUGGGGAAGGUAUGAGCUAUAUGGAUGUUGGAGGUACAUGAGGUACGCGCUGUGCGAAUUGCAUAUAGACUACUACUACGUAGAGUUUGUGGGCCACUGCAUUCGAACGAGUCUCCUGGGUCGACCAACCUUUGAGGUCGCCAUCCUGUGGGAACGGGCGCGAUUCUUUCGAAGCAGCCCAGUGGUGGGCGCAUAAACACCGGCUUAACAGGCAACGAUCCGUCCCGUUGAAAAGAUGGCGGAGAACAGGCAGGAUAAACUGAAUUGGCGAAAAAAUCCAAAGGAAGACAGUGCAUCGACGAGUCAGAAACAGCGCCAUCGUGACACAGAUUUACUAAUCUUUGUAUAGCGUAUGUCCAAGCAGCCCAUGUAUGGUAAAUCAGUUGUUUCUUUCGGAAAACUUAACAACCAGCUAAACCUGCUCGCUACCUUCGCCCUCACCGUUGCUGCCUUUAUGCUACACCUAUCUGGCUACCUGCACAGAUGUAAAUAUUCUAUAACUAUCCUUACGAAUUCCUGGGGACUGUACCGUUUAGUCGUUAUCUCAGGACCAACAAGUUGGCCAACUAUCGCCGGUUCAUCAAGGAGGUUCCCACCGUUACGGAACUAGCUCAGUCACGACGCCCUUCACCGGCCGAAGCAGGCCGAACGGCGGCAGCGGCGAUCCGUCUGCGGUAAACGCAUUGUCAAGGCGCCGUAGUAAUACUACGAUUGUUGUAAUAGGUGAGUGUUUGCGUGUUCGCAUCUACGUUACUUAACUUCGAAGUCUGCACACACAAGCACACGCUUACUAAGAGGAGACCUUUGAUAUAUGACGUAGCCGAACAAGCUACAAAAAAGACAUUGUAGCCACUUUGAACAGUGGCGGACUACUUGGGCCCGUUUCAGACCACGAAGCUGGGUGAAACCGUUGCCCGUCAUCGCGUUUUACCGCUUGUUUAGGCUGCGUAUGACUACAACGCAAUGAGUACUAUUCUCUCGAUCAUUUUACUAUCCCAGUUGAGGUUCUUUCAGAGCUGUAGCGCCAAUUCCCACAGAGAACGCGCGCGCGUUAAACGCUGCUAAAUGUUCUAGACUCUGAUCAUCGGCACUCGUAACCAGCAGAACCAGGACCUGCUAUCAGGCACACACCCAACCGUCUGGCAGGACAUGCUGAGCAACGGAUAGCGGCCCUAGCCAUAGCAGAAUUGGCUUGAUCCGCCUGAUCCGAUUGUCAGAGCUAACGUCCAGUGUGCGGACUGUGCCAAUUAUAGGCUAGACGCACAGACAAAGAUAGAUGCAAAAAAAUAGGGUUUAAAAACAAAGGCAGAUGAAAGCCCGUUGAACAUCCUGGAGAGAUCUUAAACGAAUUCAAAAAGCCACAAGGACGGCAACGUAUAAAAAGGA